rnacentral:rRNA from 1 species
GUGAGGAAUUUUCCGCAAUGGGCGAAAGCCUGACGAAGCAAUGCCGCGUGAAGGAUGAAGGCCUAUGGGUUGUAAACUUCUUUUCUCAGAAAAGAAUUAUGACGGUAUCUGAGGAAUAAGCAUCGGCUAACUCUGUGCCAGCAGCCGCGGUAAGACAGAGGAUGCAAGCGUUAUCCGGAAUGAUUGGGCGUAAAGCGUCUGUAGGUUGUUUAAAAAGUAUUCUGUCAAAGAUUAGGGCUUAACCCUAGAUAGGCAGAAUAAACUUUUAAGCUAGAGUUUGGUAGAGGCAGAGGGAAUUCCCGGUGGAGCGGUGAAAUGCGUAGAUAUCGGGAGGAACACCAAAGGCGAAGGCACUCUGCUGGGCCAAUACUAACACUGAGAGACGAAAGCGAGGGGAGCAAAUGGGAUUAGAAACCCUUGUAGUCC